GGACUACUAGGGUUUCUAAUCCUGUUUGCUCCCCACGCUUUCGCACAUGAGCGUCAGUAUUGGGCCAGGCAGUCGCUUUCGCCACUGAUGUUCCUUCCGAUAUCUACGCAUUUCACCGCUACACCGGAAAUUCCACUGCCCUCUCCCAUACUCCAGUCCUGCAGUCUCGAAUGCAGUUCCCAGGUUAAGCCCGGGGCUUUCACAUCCGACUUACAGGGCCGCCUACGCGCGCUUUACGCCCAGUAAUUCCGAUUAACGCUCGCACCCUCUGUAUUACCGCGGCUGCUGGCAC
rnacentral:rRNA from 1 species